rnacentral:rRNA from 1 species
UGGGGAAUAACCUCGGGAAACCGGGGCUAAUACCGCAUAAUACCUUCGGGUCAAAGGAGCAAUUCGCUUAAGGAGGGGGUCGCGGCUGAUUAGCUAGUUGGUGGGGUAAUGACCUACCAAGGCAAUGAUCAGUAUCCGGCCUGAGAGGGCGCACGGACACACUGGAACUGAAACACGGUCCAGACUCCUACGGGAGGCAGCAGUGGGGAAUUUUGCUCAAUGGGGGAAACCCUGAUGCAGCAGCGCCGCGUGGAGGAUGAAGUCCCUUGGGAUGUAAACUCCUUUCGACCGGGACGAUAAUGACGGUACCGGNGGAAGAAGCCCCGGCUAACUCUGUGCCNNCAGCCGCGGUAAUACANAGGGGGCAAGCGUUGUUCGGAAUUAUUGGGCGUAAAGGGUGCGUAGGCGGUGCGGUAAGUCUUCUGUGAAAUCUCCGGCUCAACUCGGAGCCUGCAGGAGAAACUGCCGUGCUUGAGUAUGGGANAGGUGAGUGGAAUUCCUGGUGUNNNGGUGAUAUGCGUAGAUAUCAGGAUGAACACCUGUGGCGAAAGCGGCUCACUGGACCAUAACUGACGCUGAUGCCGAAAGCUAGGGGAGCAAACAAGAUUA